rnacentral:rRNA from 1 species
CCUACGGGAGGCAGCAGUGAGGAAUAUUGGUCAAUGGGCGAGAGCCUGAACCAGCCAAGUCGCGUGAGGGAGUACUGCCCUAUGGGUUGUAAACCUCUUUUGUCGGGGAGCAAAAGCCGGACGUGUCCGGCUGUUAGAUUGCCGGUAGAAAAAGCAUCAGCUAACUCCGUGCCCGCGGCCGCGGUAGUACUGAGGAUGCGAACGUUAUCCGGAUUUAUUGGGUUAAAAGGGUGCGCAGGCGGAUUUUUAAGUCAGCGGUCAAAUCGUGGGGCUCAACCCCAUCCAGCCGUUGAAACUGGGGAUCUAGAGUGUGCGAGAGGUAUGCGGAAUGCGUGGUGUAGCGGUGAAAUGCAUAGAUAUCACGCAGAACACCGAUUGCGAAGGCAGCAUACCGGUGCACAACUGACGCUCAGGCACGAAAGCGUGGGUAUCGAACAGGAUUAGAUACCCUUGUAGUC